rnacentral:rRNA from 1 species
UUAAAUUGAAGAGUUUGAUCAUGGCUCAGAUUGAACGCUGGCGGCAGGCCUAACACAUGCAAGUCGAACGGUAACAGGAAGCAGCUGGCUG